AGUGGAAUUGCUGGGUCAUAUGGUAAGUGUAUGUUUGACUUCAUAAGAAACUGGCACACUGUUUGCUAAAGUAGCUGCACCAUUUGCAUUCCCACCAGCAGG
rnacentral:pre_miRNA from 1 species